AAACCAACAGGGAUUGCCUUAGUAACGGCGAGUGAAGCGGCAAAAGCUCAAUUUGAAAUCGCUUCGGCGAGUUGUAAGUAAAGUGGUUAGACGCUUUUUAAUAAGUCCCUUGGAACAGGGCGCCAUAGAGGGUGAUAGCCCCGUAUUAAAUUGUCUAGUGUGCUACUUUAGAGCGAGUCGAGUUGUUUGGGAAUGCAGCUCAAAUAGGUGGUAAACUCCAUCUAAAGCUAAAUAUUGCUGGGAGACCGAUAGCGAACAAGUACAGUGAUGGAAAGAUGAAAAGCACUUUGAAAAGAGAGUGAAAUAGCGUGUGAAAUUGUUGGAGGGGAAGGCGAUGGUAGGAAUAAGAGGCUGCGGUUUGAAAUAAAUGUUUUUCGGGCCACGGUCUCCUGAGCCUGCUUUCGCAC
rnacentral:rRNA from 1 species